AAGCUUAAAAUGAUUUUUUUUCUUGAAGUUUGUAUAAUGCUUAAGAGAACUUUAACAUUUUAGAAUCUGACAGUCUUUAAAAUUUACAAAGGUAACUGACUUCAGCCUUAUGUCUUUUAACAGUAUAAAAGUAUUUGGUUUGGUUAACAAACAAUACUGGAAUGUUUAAGAGAAAUUAUGACUCACUAUAUUUACCAAGUUUCAUUUAUUAAUAUUAACAGAGUUUUAAGUAUCCAAGAAAAACCUGCUUGUUGAAAUUUUACAUUUAUUCUGUAAGGUAUGUAAUGUGCUAAAAAAUAAAAUGAAAUCCAGUAUAUGUGUAAAUACAAAGAAUGUA
rnacentral:lncRNA from 1 species